rnacentral:lncRNA from 1 species
CUCUCUCAAGGCAGUAAAAGGGAGCAGUCGAGGUAAAACUCACCUGGUUUGUACUCUUUCACUCAGGCAUCACUGACCUGUGCUUCCUAUUGUCCAAUGUCUGGAAACUAGUGCUUCAUAUGUUUGGUCUGUUUUGUAAAGUUACUUAAGGUGAAAGGGUAAAUCUGGUCCCUGAUACUCCAUCAGGGUCAGAAGUAGAAGCUUGCAGUAGACUUUUAAUAAAGGUACACAGACAGUGCUCUAUAUUAUAUUUAAAAUAGAAUCUCAUUUUGUUUCCACAGCUGUGCUUCUAGAAACAUAUUCUAUCUUCAGAAUCAAACUGGCGUCAGUGCUGAGAUCUAAGCCACAAGCUCAUGCUAGGAGAAAUAUUCUUACCUUGAAAAAACACAUACAAUUUAUUAAAUCAAAGAAAUCAGCAACAGCUGUGUGGAAGAUAAAGAUAAAGAAGAAAUAAUUUGUGGAAGAAAUAUUUUGGGACAGUACACUUUCCUCCUCUGGCAACUUUCCCUUAAUACAUACAAAAGAAAGAAAUGGGUCAGCAUCCCCACUCCGGAAUGGUUGCGUAAGCAAGAGGAGUCUUUUAAAGAGCAUUUCAUAAAACACGAGAGAAUCUGAUGCUGUUUUGGAAAGUGACGUGCCUGACAAACUGGAGAACUAGCCUGGGCCUCUCUUUCAGAACUAUUACAAACCACAAAAGUCUGUACUUUCUGUGUUGGUUUGGAGUGAGGUUACAAGGCCAUGUAAACUUCAGAAGACCUCUCUGGGAACAUUCCACGGGCCUCCAUCCUUACGUGAUUGGCCCUGACCCACCUGUCAGGAAAGAGGGAUUUGGACACUAUGUUGCCACAUGA